GAACCUCUUCUCCAAGCCAAACAAGACCAGCUCCCUCAGCCUGUCUCCAUAGGUGAGCUGCUCCAGCCCUCUGAUCGUUCUCCUGACCUCCUCAAGAAGUUCUGUCCAGCAGCUCCACGUCUGUAGCUAUGGCCUCAGAGCUGAAUGCAGUGCUGUGAGGCCGUGCAAGAGUGGAGCACACAGGUGACACUCGCUUCUCUUGCCCUGAUAGUUACGUUUCUUUUGAUGCAUCCCAGGAUGUGGUUGGCUUUCUGGGCUGGUAAGUGCACGCUGCUUGUCAUGUUGAGCUUCUUAUCAGCCAAAACCUCUAACCUUCUCCUGGCUUCUCUCAAUCCAUUCUCCUCCCAGCCUGAAUUCGUGUUUGGGAUUGAUGCAACUCAGGUGUAGGACUUUGCACUGAGCCUUGUUGAACUUCAUGAGGUUUGCACACGCGCACUUCUCAAGCCAGUCCAGGUACAUCUGAUAGUAUUCUUUCCCUCCAGCCUGUCAGCUGCACCAUGCAGCUUGCUGUCAUCUGCUAACUCGCUGCAGGUGCACUCAAUCCUGCUGUUGUGUCACAGACACAGAUGUUAAACCGUGCAGAUCCCAAUACCAACCCCUGAGGAAUGCCACUGAUCACUGGUCUCCACCUGAACAUUGAGCCAGUGACCACAGCUCUGAGUGCAACCAUCCAGCACAUUCCUUACCUACCAGGUGAUCCAUCUGUCAAACCGCACCUCUUCAAUUUAGAGACAAGGAUGUUGUGCAAUACAGUAUCAAAUGCUUUCUUUGCACAAGUCCAGAUAGAUGAUGUCAGUUGCUCUUCUCUUUUCCACCAAUGCUAUAACCCUGUCAUAGAAGCCAUUAGACCUGUGUUAUUCUGAGUACCUGGCCAAUAGAAGUUACUGCUGGGUAUCCUCUGUGCUACCUCUUAAGACAAGAAUUUAGUGUUUACAGAAGAAUGCUUUUCUUCUUUUGGAAGAUGGGAAGUGUUGGCUUCAGCACAGCUUGUAAACUGAGAAAAUGCCUGGAUGCAGUAUCUUUGCAGAAGAAGUAGGUCCUGUGUCUGCAGGCAUAGGGAUGUGACAUCCCCAUCUGAGGAACCCAGCCCAUGGUUCAGAAUAUGAUUGGCCCUGGAUGGCAUUAGCCAAUACAGUCCUGAACAGCAUGGAGAUGUGCUUCCCUGGUAACACACAGACUUGUUACUGCCUGACUUCAGUGCUUCCUGCUGUGAUGGCUCACCUGUCUGCCCAGGGGACACUGCAAUGCUGUGCUGCCAGCAGCCUGCCACAUCCCUCAGCCUGUGCCCUGCUGCCUUGCUCCGGUCAUGAAUUCCUUGUAAAGUAGAAUGUUCCCUUGUUUCCUACCACGAACUGACUCUCAAGACAGCUGGAGGAGACCUUUUUUCCUUAUUCCUUUUCUUCUCGUUCAUACAGCAGCACAGUGCUGUUAUGUGUGCAGGUAACCAUGCACAGUAGGGUUGGGGAGGAAACCAAACCUAGAAGCUGGCAUGGAUUAGUUUGUUCUGUAACAGCUGCAGAGAAUCUGUUGCACCAAGGCCAUGGCUGGCCAGUCCUGCACCUCCGUGUGCUCACGCAGCAGCUGCAGUAGUGCUCUGCAAGCCGGCAAAGCCCCGUUUCCCAGUGCCCAGUAAUGAAUGUGCUGAGCGCUGCUGGCAGGGAAGGAUUAACCACACUGCAACAGAACAGGCUGGAUACAUUUUAUUGGCAACGCUAGUGUCAUACUCGGGAACCACAACCCUUUGUCAGACUGUUAGUGUUAACUUGCAUGACAAGUAUCAGUGACCAACUGUAUUUGAAAUAUUGUUAAAGUGCCUAGAAAUAAUGGGCGUCUUAAAAAGAGGAAAGGAAACGCACUCCAUCCACUCAAGCCAACCUUUAUAGAUCUUACAUCUUAAGCACAACUGAUGCACUGUAAUUGUUACGUGGACUUUAAUGUAACCUCUACAGCAGCACACAGACAAUGCAGUUCUCUCAUUAUGCACAUGCUUUAGGAUCGUUUAUUUUAAUGCUUUCAAAUAAAUAUGUUCCAUGCAGCACACCGCAAUAAAUAAGGAGCAGCAACUUUCGUAUAGUACAUCCAUUCAUAAUGUAAGUCACCAUGUGAAACACCACAUCUAAAGCCUUUGGCCCAGUCCCAUACAGUGAAGCACACCACAUCUGCACAUAAUCAUAUCUGGCUUCAUAUGGAUUUAAUAGGACUACGCCAGAAGGGCAAUGUGAGCACAAGUUUAACCAGGGGUUCCUACCCAUUAAAUACGGCUACUAAGUAGUUAAAAGGCAACAACUAAACCCAUAAAGGGUUGAUUUGUCUUUUCUUUCUUACCUUUCAGACAGAAAUAUAAAGUAUGAAAAUGCUCUGGAUUUUUUCAGCCCCGUGUAAAGCCGUGUGAUUAGCAUGGAAUGCUCUGAGCAGUACUGGCACGCACGCUGGCAUCGGCAGCCACAGCCCGACAGUCUGCAGGGAAGGCCGCUCCUCCUCUUCCUCUAUGCUGCCAGCUCCACCGCCCCCUCCUCCUCGCUGUCCGCCCGGUUGGCGCGGAUCUCCACCAGGGUCCGAGCAAAGCGCGUCCAUUCGUCGUUGUGCGGCACCGCCAGCUGCAGAGAGACAGCACAGGGAUGACAGCCCGGCGAGGCACGGCGCCUGCCACAGCCCGUGGCCGGCCAUGUCAGCCCGCAGCGCUGCCCCAUCCCGGCACAAAGCCACUCUUCUCCCAUCCAGCUCCGGUGGCAGAGAGAAAAGCUUCUCUCUCUGCAGGAUUCUGGGGAGGAGUGCUUUGCUUCAGCACUGUCGCAGAACCCCUCUGUGAACCUUUCUGAUUUUCCAAACUACCACAAGCUCGCUCUCUGUGACACAUCCAUAUGCAUUUCACAGCACACACAUGGCCAAGAGUAAUUGUUUGCAGGACCGAGGUCGGUGUGUACAAGGUAACAGUGCUUUUACAACGCUGUACUGAAACCAUGUUCCUGAAGUUCAUUAAAGCUCUUAUUAAAAUAAA